rnacentral:rRNA from 1 species
AACGAACGCUGGCGGCAGGCUUAACACAUGCAAGUCGAGCGCCCCGCAAGGGGAGCGGCAGACGGGUGAGUAACGCGUGGGAAUCUACCUAUCUCUACGGAAUAACGCAUGGAAACGUGUGCUAAUACCGUAUACGUCCUUCGGGAGAAAGAUUUAUCGGAGAUGGAUGAGCCCGCGUUGGAUUAGCUAGUUGGUGGGGUAAAGGCCUACCAAGGCGACGAUCCAUAGCUGGUCUGAGAGGAUGAACAGCCACACUGGGACUGAGACACGGCCCAGACUCCUACGGGAGGCAGCAGUGGGGAAUAUUGGACAAUGGGCGCAAGCCUGAUCCAGCCAUGCCGCGUGAGUGAUGAAGGCCCUAGGGCUGUAAAGCUCUUUCACCGGUGAAGAUAAUGACGGUAACCGGAGAAGAAGCCCCGGCUAACUUCGUGCCAGCAGCCGCCGUAACAC